CUUGAAUGAAUAAUGGGUGUUUCGCAAAAGCCAAUUCUCAGCAAACCUUUGGAAUCACAAGACAGGAAAAAAAGGUCUUCUCCUCAUAUCAAGAACAUAAGGUGUGAAAGGAUUUUGAUGAAGAGAAGGGAAAGGCCCCAGAAGUCAGUCCAAACGAAGGUGAGGAUACUUAAGAAGCUAAUUCCAGGCUGUGAAUCAAUAGGAGUGGAAAGGCUUUUCAAGGAAACAGCAGAUUACAUUAUGGCUUUACAAAUGAGAGUUAAAGUCAUGCAAAUUAUGGUAAAUGCAUUGUCAGGUUCUGAUGAAUGAUUUGUUCGUUAAUUCAUUUGCAGUCGCAGAUACCAUUCUUUUUCAUUCAUGUAAUUUAUAUUGCCAGAGCAGCUGGCUAUAUAGUUGAUUAUUCAGUUCCAUUGUGUGUAAUUGAUAACUUAAUUAGAG
rnacentral:lncRNA from 1 species